rnacentral:rRNA from 1 species
UACGUAGGGUGCAAGCGUUAAUCGGAAUUACUGGGCGUAAAGCGUGCGCAGGCGGUCCGUUAAGACAGAUGUGAAAUCCCCGGGCUUAACCUGGGAACUGCAUUUGUGACUGGCGGACUCGAGUAUGGCAGAGGGGGGUAGAAUUCCACGUGUAGCAGUGAAAUGCGUAGAGAUGUGGAGGAAUACCCGAUGGGCGAAGG